rnacentral:tmRNA from 3 species
GGGGCCGCGAUUGGGGUUCGACUGCUCCGAAACCAACAAAUGGACGGUUGCAGGAUUCGGGUUCAAUUCCCGACGGCUCCACUA